rnacentral:rRNA from 1 species
GACGAACGCUGGCGGCGUGCUUAACACAUGCAAGUCGAGCGGUAAGGCUCCUUCGGGAGUACACGAGCGGCGAACGGGUGAGUAACACGUGAGCAAUCUGCCCUUCUCAUCGGAAUAACCAUUGGAAACGAUGGCUAAUGCCGAAUACGACUUCCUUUCGCAUUUCAGGAAGUGGAAAGCUCCGGCGGAGAAGGAUGAGCUCGCGGCCUAUCAGCUUGUUGGUGAGGUAAUGGCUCACCAAGGCGACGAAGGGUAGCCGGCCUGAGAGGGUGACCGGCCACACUGGGACUGAGACACGGCCCAGACUCCGACGGGAGGCAGCAGUGGGGAAUAUUGGACAAUGGGCGAAAGCCUGAUCCAGCAACGCCGCGUGAGGGAUGACGGCCUUCGGGUUGUAAACCUCUUUCAGCAGGGACGAAGCGAAAGUGACGGUACCUGCAGAAGAAGGACCGGCCAACUACGUGCCAGCCGCCGCGGUAA